AGUGAACGCUGGCGGCGUGCUUAACACAUGCAAGUCGAACGAGAACGGAUUAUAGCUUGCUAUAAUUGUCAGCUAAGUGGCGCACGGGUGAGUAAUGUAUAGGCAAUAUGCCUCUUACUAAGGGAUAACAAAUGGAAACGUUUGCUAAUACCUUAUACUCCUUAUUAACAGAAGUUAAUAAGGGAAAGAUUUAUUGGUAAGAGAUUAGCCUGUAUUGUAUCAGUUAGUUGGUGGGGUAAUGGCUUACCAAGACUAUGACACAUAACUGGUUUGAGAGGAUGAUCAGUCACACUGGAACUGAGACACGGUCCAGACCCCUACGGGAGGCAGCAGUGGGGAAUAUUGCACAAUGGACGAAAGUCUGAUGCAGCAACGCCGCGUGGAGGAUGACACAUUUCGGUGCGUAAACUCCUUUUAUAUGAGAAGAUAAUGACGGUAUUAUAUGAAUAAGCACCGGCUAACUACGUGCCAGCCGCCGCCGUAA
rnacentral:rRNA from 1 species